AACGAACGCUGGCGGCAUGCCUAACACAUGCAAGUCGAACGAGACCUUCGGGUCUAGUGGCGCACGGGUGCGUAACGCGGGGGAACCUGCGUUUAGGUUCUGACUCACACCCCGAAAGGGGUGCUAAUAACGGAUAAUAUCUUCGGACCAAAGGUUUAUCGCCUUUGGUUUGGCCCGGGUUGGCUUAGUCAGUUGGUAAGGGAAAAGCCUACCAAGGCGCAGAUCCAGAGCUGGCCGGAGAGGAUGAUCAACGACACUUGGGAUGAGGCACGGCCCAGACGCCUAGGGAAGGGAGGAGAGGGGAAUAUAGGACAAUGGGCGAAAGCCUGAUCCAGCAAUGCCGCGUGAGUGAUGAAGGCGUUAGGGUUGUAAAGCUCUUUUGCCCGGGAUGAUAAUGACAGUACCGGGAGAAUAAGCACCGGCUAACUCCGU
rnacentral:rRNA from 1 species